GAUUUUUCUAUUUCCCUUUCAUUUUCUUUUCUUACUCUUUCUUCUUUCUCUUUCUCUCUUCUCUUCUCCGUUUCUUCUGUUCUUCAGUUAAGAGUUGAUUAAGUAAUCAAAUUAGUUAUUUUGAGAUCGUAAUAAGAGGGAAAAUAUCAAGAGUUGAUCGUUGGUGACGCUGUUAUGUUUGUUUGAGAACGGAAUAGAGAGGAUGAAGUUGUUGCUGUAAAUCGGAUUAAGGUUUAGAGAUUUAAUUUUGAGUUUGUAAGGAAUCGGUAUAAGAGGAUAGAGGUAUUGAUGGAGGAGGAAAUCAAGGGUUAUCGUUAAAAUUGGUGUUCUGAAGUUGAUUUGAUAAAGAAUCAGAAGUUAGAGUUCUGAAUUUCAGUGAAGAUGUGAUUUGAGAUGAUUAAGAAGAAAGUAGAGAUGGGUUUUGAAGAUCAAGAUGUGAAGUAAAAGGUUAUAGUUGCAUUUCGAAGAUUUGUAUAUAAAGAAGAAGAGUAAUUGAGGAAUCAGGAAUUAGGGUUCUGUUCUUGAGGAUUUUGGAUGAGGAUAAAUAAGGUGUAUUGGGGUUUAGAAGAUUGUUUGGAUAUGAUUUACUGAAUCGAGUAAGACAAGGAAGGAUCAGACUCAACUACUAAAUCAAUGGUUUGGGUGGAAAUUGAACUGAGGUAAUUGAUUGUUUCAGUAAAUUUAAUUAAGUUAUUUAAUUCAUAUUUGAGUCUGUGUGGGUAUUAAUGAAUUGGGAUUGUGAAUGAUGAGGAAGCUGAGGUUAAGCUUAGAUUGUUGCAGAUGUAGGUGAUUGUGCUGAAUUAUGAACUGUGGUGGUGCUAUCGAGGUUGCAGGGGAUAUCAGUGGUUGUUGGAGGUUAGGUGUUGGUGUUGUCUAUGUAGUUGUUAUUGCAGAACUGGAGUUGGAGGUGGAAGUAGUAAUGAAGUUAUGGUUGGUUUGUGGUGGAUAUGGUGUUAUGAGUUGUUGGGGGAUGAAAUGAUUGGAAUUGAGUCACAACUGGUGUUGAUGCUGAUUGUGGUGUGUAUUUGUUAUGCAGUUAGGACUUCAGCAGUGGUGUUUAACUCAGUGCAUUGAGAUGAGAUGUUUUGGAUACUGAACUGGAAUGCAUUAUUGCAUACCAGUAUUUGGCUGCAGUUGAUGAAAUUGAAUGGGCAAAUGGAUUUUUAGUAAGGAGUAAUGUAAUGCUGAGAAUGGUGGAGUUAAAAGUGUCGAAUGUUGCGUGAGAUGGUAUUACAGUUCAUGAGAAUGGUUGUUGGUGUUGGCAAUGUUGAACUGGGAUAAUGGUUGUAUGUUAAAGUUCUAUGAAUUUCAAGGAAGUGUUGGCUCAAUUAUCUCAGUGAACUGUAAAAUUCAAGUAUGGCAGUGGUGAUCUAAUGAAGCAUGACAGGAUGGUUGUAGCAUAGUGGUGUUGAGUACUGUUGUGUGUUGGUUCAGAGAUGGUUGAAUUGUGAAUGGAGUAUGAGAAGACUGGUUAGCUGUUAUUGUGGUAAUGAUGUUAUUGUUGUAGUAUUAUGGAGUGCAGAAAAGGGGUUAGUGGUCUGUUGUUGAACUGUUAUUGUCGGGAUUCACAACUGCAGGGCCAUUGCAGUGGCAGUUCAGUUGUGUGUGUAUGGUUUAAGUGUUGUCGAGAUGAUCUGGGUUUUGCUUAAAGCUGCAAGUGCAGUUUCAGAGACAAUUCAAGAUGUGCAUGUGACGAUGAAAGCUUCGAAGAAUUAAUUACGUUAGUUAGUUAGCUUCUGCUAUGUUUAUUAUGUGUUUAUAUUCUAGUUGUAAAUCAAUUCACUAUUGAAUAUGUAUCAUUUGAGAAGAGUUAUUGUAUAUAUUUAUGAGAGGGGAUAGUUCUUGGGUUAAGUUUUUGUAGCAGAUUUCUUAAUUGAGUGUUUAAGUAAAUGAUUUUAGAUUC